GUAAAAAUGCCAGAGGUAUUAUGGGCUUGGUUUAGGACUAAGACACGGCUUAACUGCCUUUUUACU
rnacentral:tRNA from 2 species